ACUCCUACGGGAGGCAGCAGUGGGGAAUAUUGGACAAUGGGCGAAAGCCUGAUCCAGCCAUGCCGCGUGUGUGAAGAAGGUCUUCGGAUUGUAAAGCACUUUAAGUUGGGAGGAAGGGUUUCUGGCUAAUACCCAGGAAUUUUGACGUUACCGACAGANAAGCACCGGCUAACUCC
rnacentral:rRNA from 1 species